rnacentral:rRNA from 1 species
GGAAAGAUGAAAAGAACUUUGAAAAGAGAGUUAAACAGUACGUGAAAUUGUUGAAAGGGAAACGAUUGAAGUCAGUCGUGCUGGCGCGAAAUCAACCCUCUCGUCUUGAGAUCACAUGGCGCGACGAGCCUCAAAACCGUCACGAAGCGUGAACUCUUGACGAAAAGGUGCACUUUCGUGUCCGCUGGUUAACAUCAAUUUCGAACGUCAUAAAAAGGCUGGAGGGAUGUGGCUCCUUCGGGAGUGUUAUAACCUUUAGCGGAAUGUGGUGUUCGGGAUUGAGGAUUGCAACGAAUACCUUCGGGGCUGUUCCACCUGGCUUCUCAUUGGUAUCCUGGUGACGACAGCUUGCUGACGUCGUUAGGAUCAGCUUCUGAACAGGCUAGAGUGUGAGCAAAUUCGUUAAGGAUGUUAACGUAAUGGCUUUAAACGACCCGUCUUGAAACACGGACCA